rnacentral:lncRNA from 1 species
AAGACAUACCAAGGGAACCCUAACCCCUAUCAACAAGUGGGAAGUGGAAAUCAAGUUCUACCAAGUGAGGAGAUAUUAGCACUUCAGACACCCAUUGCAUUAUCUCCUACCUCAUUUAGCUACACGCUAAGUCACCAAACGUAUCUGUCUUUUGGUAAGAGGAAAGAUUUUUACUCUCAGCAAGCCCAUUACAACAAGAGGGAUAAAAGUUCGUAUCAAGACAACCAUGGGUGAACGUACCGUCGACUAUUAUGACUAUGUGGCCAAGCCUCACUCUUUCAAAGUGGAGGACUAAGUACUGAAGGAAAUGCUAUUAUAAGAAGGCAUACACAUUACAAACGUUUUG